rnacentral:rRNA from 1 species
GCUUGCUAAGACUGAUGGCGACCGGCGCACGGGUGAGUAACACGUAUCCAACCUGCCGUCUACUCUUGGACAGCCUUCUGAAAGGAAGAUUAAUACAAGAUGGCAUCAUGAGUCCGCAUGUUCACAUGAUUAAAGGUAUUCCGGUAGACGAUGGGGAUGCGUUCCAUUAGAUAGUAGGCGGGGUAACGGCCCACCUAGUCUUCGAUGGAUAGGGGUUCUGAGAGGAAGGUCCCCCACAUUGGAACUGAGACACGGUCCAAACUCCUACGGGAGGCAGCAGUGAGGAAUAUUGGUCAAUGGGCGAGAGCCUGAACCAGCCAAGUAGCGUGAAGGAUGACUGCCCUAUGGGUUGUAAACUUCUUUUAUAAAGGAAUAAAGUCGGGUAUGGAUACCCGUUUGCAUGUACUUUAUGAAUAAGGAUCGGCUAACUCCGUGCCAGCAGCCGCGGUAAUACGGAGGAUCCGAGCGUUAUCCGGAUUUAUUGGGUUUAAAGGGAGCGUAGAUGGAUGUUUAAGUCAGUUGUGAAAGUUUGCGGCUCAACCGUAAAAUUGCAGUUGAUACUGGAUAUCUUGAGUGCAGUUGAGGCAGGCGGAAUUCGUGGUGUAGCGGUGAAAUGCUUAGAUAUCACGAAGAACUCCGAUUGCGAAGGCAG